rnacentral:rRNA from 1 species
UACAGAGGUCUCAAGCGUUUGUUCGGAUUCAUUGGGCGUAAAGGGUGCGUAGGCGGCGCGGUAAGUCGGGUGUGAAAUCUCGGGGCUUAACUCCGAAACUGCAUUCGAUACUGCCGGUGCUUGAGGACUGGAGAGGAGACUGGGAAUUUAGGUGUAGCAGUGAAAUGCGUAGAGUAUCAUGAGGAAGACCAGUGGCGAAGGCGGGUCUCUGGGACAGUUCCUGACUGAGACACGAAGGCCAGGGGAGCAAACGGGG